rnacentral:tRNA from 1 species
GGGGAAGUAGCUCAGUGGUAGAGCUCCCGCCCCUUAUGAGGGAAGACGGAGGUCCGAUUCCCUGCUCCUUCU